GUUUAUUAUUGAAUAAGUAAAAGCCCGAGUGUAUCGAAAGAUUCCGGUAUGCGAGAACAAGUAGAUAUUUGACCAAGUUGUCAGAUAAUUGACAAGUGAUAAUGGUUUGAUUUAUUUUAACAAUACACAGGUGAUAGAAUAUAAAAUAAUCGAUAAUUAUAUGGCUUGUGUCUCACGCCAAGGACGAGUAAAGGUAAAUACCGGCUUUAAUAGAAAAGUGCAUUGUUUUUGCCAAACUGACAUCGAUCUGAAAGUUUUGAUGCCAAAAAUCAUUUGAAAACUUUAUUGCGUUAUUUAAAUAUCUAGCUGUUUCACAUUCUAAUGUGGAUAUAAGGACCUUCACUCGUUCAGCAUGCUCAAGUGGAUCAAACUGACAAC
rnacentral:lncRNA from 1 species